rnacentral:rRNA from 1 species
UACGGAGGAUGCAAGCGUUAUCCGGAUUUAUUGGGCGUAAAGCGUCCGCAGGUGGUUGUUCAAGUCUGCUGUUAAAGCGCGAGGCUUAACCUUGUACAGGCAGUGGAAACUGAGCGACUAGAGUAUGGUAGGGGAAGCGGGAAUUCCCAGUGUAGCGGUGAAAUGCGUAGAUAUUGGGAAGAACACCAGCGGCGAAAGCGCGCUACUGGGCCAUUACUGACACUCAUGGACGAAAGCUAGGGGAGCGAAAGGG